rnacentral:rRNA from 7 species
AACUUUCAGCAACGGAUCUCUUGGCUCUCGCAUCGAUGAAGAACGCAGCGAAAUGCGAUAAGUAAUGUGAAUUGCAGAAUUCAGUGAAUCAUCGAAUCUUUGAACGCACCUUGCGCUCCUUGGUAUUCCGAGGAGCAUGCCUGUUUGAGU